AGGGGGUGGGGGCUGCCCGCAUCUUUGCCAGCUGUGCCCGCAGGUCAGACGUCUGACCCAUGUCCAGUUCGUCUUCCCCAGCAGAGCCCUCAGCCUUCAAGCCUCUGGCUCCGUCCAGGAAGCACAGAGCCUUCUCGGUAAGAGGACUGGUUGAGGAGGUGUCACACAUCUUAGGAGAAUGUUUCUUAACUUUUGCAGUGGCUGGGGGAAAUUAGUGCAGUUCUGCCCACUUGAAUUGAAAAGGGUGUUUUUGGUUGGUGGUGGUUUUUAUUCAUUUCUGCACGUCUCUCUGGGUCAGGCCCCAGGGGUCCACAGCACUGGCCACUGUAUGGCCUUGGCGAGCGCUGUGGGGUAUCUUCAAGGGUUGUCAGAGUCCUGAGACGUGCCUCCAGGUCCAGAGGCCACACAUGUCAGGGCAGGCGGCAGUGAAGUGGAGCAGAUGCGCUCAUACCACCGACUGGCGAGAAGGUUUGUUUUUUGCAUCUCAUCAGAUGGCACCAAGUAUAUUUUCAUUUAGCUGAUUUCCUGUUCUUCAGGGCUCUGACAGGGAGAGAAACGUCUUGCCCUUUUCUCUUCCACCCAAAACCUUCCCCAGAUUUAAUGCUGGAUACUUUGUGAGCCCAUUUAUUUGUGAAAAUAAAAACUAGAAAUCUCCUCUUUGAUGAUGGUUGCACAACGAUAUAAAUAUACUUAACAGACAUAACUAUACACUGCUUUAAACAGGGUUAAAAUGGUAAAUUUUAUGUAUACUUUACCACAACUUUAAAACUGGGUGGGGGGGAAUGUUUUCCCCUUUGAAAGUAAGGAGAAAGCUGACUGUUGAAAUCCGAGUCCUCUUUAUCUGUGCUGCUCCCACUUCAGGGGCCAGUCCUGCACCGCUGGCAGGGUCCGCUCCCACCUGCUCACUUCCUCCCCUGCUGCUCCAUCACUCUUCAUGUGCACUUUGGCUGCCCACGAUUGCUCUUCUGCCUGAAGUGAUCGGAGUAGAAAAGAGUUUGUCAAGUUAAGGAAUUUCUUCUUUUCUACUUCUCGAGGAUCAGUCGUCAGUUGAUAGCAUAAUAUUUAACAUUCGAAUUAGCAGAAAUCAGUAUUUACAUAAUAAGGAAAUUUUCUCUAUUUGUAGACAUUAAAAUUGCUUAUCAAUAGACUUUAUUUGUGUGACUGAUUUUGCUGAGAAAACACAAGAAGGUGUCCCCUUCUACAAGAUGGAAGGGUGACCAGCAAAAACAACCCAGUCUCAUGAACAAAAAUAUUUGCCGCUUACGCAGGUAAUACCUGCAGCUCAGCUGAUAAAGAAUCUGCCUGUAAUGCGGGAGAUCUGGGUUCAAUCCCUGGGUUGGAAAGAUCCCCUGGAGAAGGGAAAGGCUACCCACUCUUGUAUUCUGGUCUGGAGACUGUAUAGAGCGUGGGGUUUCAAAGAGUCAGACAUGACUGAGCAACUUUCACUUUUAUGUAGGUAAUACCCACUUAAGCACUGGGACCCCUGGAUCAUCACCCCUUUAAGAGACGGAGUCACGUGAACUUCUGUCCUCUUCUGGGUGCUGGUGAUGCAGGAUCAGGAAAGCUUCCCCUUUGUGGAAGGUUCACCUAUUUUAUUCAGCAUUUCUAAGAAUUCUGACACAUAAGCAUUUUCAUAUCACCUCGUCUGACCAAAAAGACUUCUUUCAUAGUACAGCAGGAAACUGAACAAAGAAAAUAUUGCUUUGUCACUCAGUCCCACGUUGCUCAUUCUGUCUCAUUUUAAGAGCCAUGAUUGAUUCUAAUUGGUCCUUAUGUCAUAUUUUCUGAACAAAUGAUCAGUUUCUGUUACACUCAGUAGAAGAAUUUCAAAUGAAUGAGCCUGCUCAGCUGACUGAGGAGUCUGAGGGGUGGUAGAUAACAUACCUGUGCUUCUGCAGCGGCUGCAGAAAACUCAAGUGAGCUGCCCUGUGUCUGUAUGUUUAUAUGUUAUUCAUCCCUGCCGCACCCCGCCCCCAUUUUAUCAGGGGACAGCUAGUGGAGAUCAGUUAGUGUCUCCAGAGAGAACCAAGAUCUCCAGACAGGCAGUGCGUCCCACACAGCUGUGUGGUAAGCUGAGGUGUCCCGGUGCGUGUCCUGCAGAAAGGUGUCUCCCCCGGGGGAAGCGAGCUGAUGCCAAGCCUCCUCGGGCUCUCCCAGGCCAAACAUCACCUUCUGUCCCUACAGUCUUUUCACAGUGGUUUUCACUCUCCUUCCUUGCAUCCCGCCCCCCCACCCCGCCCCCCGGCCACUCACAGGGUCCUUUCAGAAGUUGGAGACCCUGUCCUCUUCAGUCGGGUAUUUCCGUAAGCAUCCUUAGUUUUCUGUUGUGGUGUGUGUGUUUUACUUGUCAAGCAUUACAAGGCCGCUUAAUUUCCCUGAUCUCUUGAAGUUCUCAAUGGAAAAGAGGUACUUUACUGUUGCCCCAAGUAUUUUCAGUAGAUCCAGCAUGGAAAAGCAUCUGAAUUCGGUGAGUCAUACAUUAAGUAACUGUCUGUUACCACGUUGUGUCUGCCACCUGGUUACCAGGUGACCCGUCCCAGGGAGCUGCUGUGACCCGUGGGCCAGCUUCACGGUGCUCCCCCAACUUGUGGCUUCAUCAGGCAGAACUGAGGGCUCUGACAGCCGCCACGCAGGCCCAGGAUACCGGCUCAGGCUGGCUAUUCUCACCCGGCACCCCCAUGAACACGCAGUCCAGCUCUUGGCCAGGCCUGCACUUACCUGGCUCGUGGCUGGGGCCACAGGGCUUCCUCCCAGAGUUACUCCCAUGGCCCUGGGCUCUGUUCCAUUUGGGCUCCUCUAUGGGGUGGCUCAGUAUGUGGGGUUGGAUCCCCCUUAGGCAAGCAAUCCAGGGAGGGGAGAGAGCAGCCAGGAUGAGGAGGGUGGUGGUGG